GAGGGAUCUGACACAGCAGAAGAAAACUUGGUCAAACUCUGUUGAGAGAAGUCCUGAAAGGCGUCAUUGAUUCAGAUAGUUCUCUUUACUGACCACUAGGUGUCGCUAAGUAGGCGCGAUGACACGUGGCAGGAGGGGGAGGGGCAAAGGCGGCAGCAUCCAGUCCAUCAAUGGCGAUGUUCAGCAGAUUCACAAAUGCCGGAGGUUCCUUGGUGUCAAGACAUUUUUACCCCUGCACCUAUUCAGGCGCCUGGCUGACUGUGAGAUCAGCACUCAACGUGGAACACCU
rnacentral:lncRNA from 1 species